rnacentral:rRNA from 1 species
GAAGAUGAUUUUAGCUAUAAUGGCGAACGGGUGAGUAACACGUGGGUAACCUGCCCAGAAGUGGAGUGAGGGAUAACACCUGGAAACAGAUGCUAAUACCGCAUAACAAAGUAAACCGCAUGGUUUACUUUUAAAAGAUGGCUUCGGCUAUCACUUCUGGAUGGACCCGCGGCGUAUUAGCUAGUUGGUGAGAUAAAGGCUCACCAAGGCAGUGAUACGUAGCCGACCUGAGAGGGUAAUCGGCCACAUUGGGACUGAGACACGGCCCAGACUCCUACGGGAGGCAGCAGUAGGGAAUCUUCCACAAUGGACGAAAGUCUGAUGGAGCAACGCCGCGUGAGUGAUGAAGCUUUAGGGUCGUAAAACUCUGUUGUUGGAGAAGAACGUGUGUGAGAGUAACUGCUCAUGCAGUGACGGUAUCCAACCAGAAAGCCACGGCUAAGCUUUAGGGUCGUAAAACUCUGUUGUUGGAGA